rnacentral:rRNA from 1 species
AUUGAACGCUGGCGGCAUGCCUUACACAUGCAAGUCGAACGGCAGCACGGGUGCUUGCACCUGGUGGCGAGUGGCGAACGGGUGAGUAAUACAUCGGAACAUGUCCUGUAGUGGGGGAUAUCCCGGCGAAAGCCGGAUUAAUACCGCAUCCGAUCUACGGAUGAAAGCGGGGGACCUUCGGGCCUCGCGCUAUCGGGUUGGCCUAUGGCUGAUUAGCUAUUUGGUGGGGUAAAGUCCUACCCAGUCGACGAUCAGUAGCUGGUCUGAGAGGACGACCAGCCACACUGGGACUGAGACACGGCCCAGACUCCUACGGGAGGCAGCAGUGGGGAAUUUUGGACAAUGGGCGAAAGCCUGAUCCAGCAAUGCCGCGUGUGUGAAGAAGGCCUUCGGGUUGUAAAGCACUUUUGUCCGGAAAGAAAUCCUUGGCCCUAAUACGGUCGGGGGAUGACGGUACCGGAAGAAUAAGCACCGGCUAACUACGUG